rnacentral:rRNA from 1 species
UACGACUACAUAUCAGGCAUAUCAAUAAGCGGAGGAAAAGAAACUAACAAGGAUUCCCUAGUAACGGCGAGUGAAGCGGGAAGAGCUCAAAUUUGAAAUCUUAAAGGGUUUCCCUUUACGAAUUGUAGUUUAAAGAAGUGUUUUCUGUUGGAGUUUCGGUAAAAGUUCUUUGGAAUAGGACAUCAUAGAGGGUGAGAAUCCCGUAUUUGACCGUUACUUUCCAGCUGUGUGAUACACUUUCAAAGAGUCGGAUUGUUUGGGAAUGCAGUCCAAGAUGGGUGGUAAAUUUCAUCUAAAGCUAAAUAUUGGCGAGAGACCGAUAGCGAACAAGUACCGUGAGCGAAAGAUGAAAAGAACUUUGAAAAGAGAGUUAAACAGUACGUGAAAUUGUCAAAAGGGAAGCGUUUGACACCAGUGUUGUUUAGUUGAAAAUCAAUUCAAUAGUUUUUGAUUCUAAGUAGUAUUGACUUCAUCAGCUUGCUGCUUUCUUCUCAGAAAUUAUUGAAUGCACUUUUCAGUUAACAAGUCAACAUCAAUUUCUUUUGUAGUAAAAGGGUAAGAGGAAGGUGGCUUGCGCUUCGGCUCAAGUGUUUAUAGCCUUUUAUCUCUGCAAUCGGAGAGAUUGAGGUCUGCAGCGUAGAUCCUUCGGGGUUAGAUACAUUGGUGCUAAGCUAUAGCCUUGUAUAGACAACUUGUUGACUAUGCUCAGUCAUGUAGCUUACUCGCUGAUGCUAUUUUACCUACGCUUAGGAUGUUGAUCUACAGAGCGAGAGU